GUGGGGAAUAUUGGACAAUGGGCGAAAGCCUGAUCCAGCCAUGCCGCGUGUGUGAAGAAGGUCUUCGGAUUGUAAAGCACUUUAAGUUGGGAGGAAGGGCAGUAAGUUAAUACCUUGCUGUUUUGACGUUACCAACAGAAUAAGCACCGGCUAACUUCGUGCCAGCAGCCGCGGUAAUACGAAGGGUGCAAGCGUUAAUCGGAAUUACUGGGCGUAAAGCGCGCGUAGGUGGUUUUGUAAGUUGGAGGUGAAAUCCCCGGGCUCAACCUGGGAACUGCCUCCAAAACUGCAUGACUAGAGUACGGUAGAGGGUAGUGGAAUUUCCUGUGUAGCGGUGAAAUGCGUAGAUAUAGGAAGGAACACCAGUGGCGAAGGCGACUACCUGGACUGAUACUGACACUGAGGUGCGAAAGCGUGGGGAGCAAACAGGAUUAGAUACCCGUGUAGUCC
rnacentral:rRNA from 1 species